rnacentral:rRNA from 1 species
GACCUGGUAGUAGCGAAGCUAACGCGUUAAGCAUGCCGCCUGGGGAGUACGAACGCAAGUUUAAAACUCAAAGGAAUUGACGGGGACCCGCACAAGCGGUGGAGCGUGUUGUUUAAUUCGAUGGUAAACGUAGAACCUUACCAAGGUUUGACAUCCUGGGAAGGUCUCCGAAAGGAGACUGUGCCUUCGGGAAUCCAGUGACAGGUGUUGCAUGGCCGUCGUCAGCUCGUGUCGUGAGAUGUUUGGUUAAGUCCAUCAACGAGCGCAACCCUUUUGGUUAGUUGAAUUUCUCUAGCCAGACUGCCCUGGUAACAGGGAGGAAGGAGGGGAUGAUGUCAGGUCAGUAUUACCCUUACACCUUGGGCCACAAACACGCUACAAUGGCCGGUACAAAGGGCUGCCAAGCAGCAAUGCGGAGCAAAUCCCAUCAAAGCCGGUCCCAGUUCGGAUUGGGGGCUGAAACUCGCCUCCAUGAAGCCGGAAUCGCUAGUAACGGUGAGUCAGCUAUAUUACCGUGAAUACGUUCCCGGGUCUUGUACACACCGCCCGUCAAACCAUGAAAGUCGCCAAUACCCGAAAUCCGAUUUAUCGGCCUAAGGUAGGGGAGAUGAUUGGGGUU